CCUACGGGAGGCUGCAGUGGGGAAUAUUGGACAAUGGGGGGAACCCUGAUCCAGCCAUGCCGCGUGUGUGAAGAAGGCCCUCGGGUUGUAAAGCACUUUCAGUGAGGAAGAGCGCCUGGUGGUUAAUACCCAUCAGGAAAGACAUCACUCACAGAAGAAGCACCGGCUAACUCCGUGCCAGCAGCCGCGGUAAUACGGAGGGUGCGAGCGUUAAUCGGAAUUACUGGGCGUAAAGCGCGCGUAGGUGGCUUGAUAAGCCGGUUGUGAAAGCCCCGGGCUCAACCUGGGAACGGCAUCCGGAACUGUCAAGCUAGAGUGCAGGAGAGGAAGGUAGAAUUCCCGGUGUAGCGGUGAAAUGCGUAGAGAUCGGGAGGAAUACCAGUGGCGAAGGCGGCCUUCUGGACUGACACUGACACUGAGGUGCGAAAGCGUGGGUAGCAAACAGGAUUAGAUACCCUGGUAGUC
rnacentral:rRNA from 1 species